GUUCCGGGGUCGGGCGUUGGCGGCGGCCGAGCUGCGGCGUCGGGGGCGGGCCCUGGAGGAGCGACACCUGGCCCAGGUGCGCCGGGCCAAUCACCUGCAGCAGCAGCUGGGCCGCGCCCAGGCCAGCAGGGAACAGCUGGAGGCCGCCCGCAGGCAGGUGGAGGAGCUGUCAGAACAGCAGGAGGAGGCGGAGCUUCGGGCCCGGAAGUGGCACCUGGAAUUCCGGCACCUGCAGGAGCGAUUCCAGGCCCUGAGCCAGGAGAAGGAGAGGCUGCUGGAGGAGAGGGACGCCCUGAGAGAGGCCAAUGAGGAGCUCAGGUGUGCCCAGGUACUGGGCUGGCCAGGUGAGUCACACCUGGGGGGGGGGGGG